rnacentral:lncRNA from 1 species
UUAAAAGCCAUUUUUCAAAAUAUGUGUUGGCAUUUAGUUACAUGCAGCCUCCUCUUUGGCUAUAACUCCCUUGUCGUGUCCGCAAGAAGCAGGGGUUUUUAAUGUACUGAAGCAAAGCUCCCACCCCUCCAUGAUCAGCUUGCUGCCUUUAACAAUUAGUAGUCUGGACACUGAAGUCCAAAUGCCCAGGUAACUUAAUUAUUUCUCUACUCCUCCCCUUAACCAAGAAGCACCAGCAAAAUGACUCAUUAGUUUAUCUAGGGUUUUUAAAAGUGUGACUUUAGACUGCACACUGGAACCAAUGACCCUUCUCUCUAACCACAUUCAAUUAAUACGCAAAUGAGGUAGACCUUUUGGGUCACCAUUCAAGUUCAGAAUCAAAGGAAAUCCCGGGCCGAGGGAGGAAGUAGCAAGUGCUUAGAGGAGAAGUUGAGAGAAAAUAAAGGAUUUGAAAUCAGAUCAACCAAGGUUUGAAUCCCAGAUCAACCAUUUACUUGCUUUAUCACCAUGGCCAUGAGAUUUAUCAUAUUUGAGCCUCGGUUUCAUCAACCUUAAAGUGGGAAUUACACUCUUCUGCCCCUUUCCAUCCUCACAGGUUGUUAUGACGUGUGCUAUAUGGUUAGGUUCUCUGUGUCCGUAUUUACCUUUUCUCCUGUAUAGAUACCUUAAACUAAAAGGCCUGCAUGCAAAUGAAUCAAGUGGGCUAGGGUAAUCUGCAGAACAAUAGGGAAUGGUGAGGACUCUGGCAAGCUAGACAGUGCCUGCCCCAUAGGGACACAACACGGUAGUAACUACCCAGUUUCAAGAGUUCACCUGGGUUCUCACAAUGUGUAGUAUUUUUAAAGAGAAGCCUGAAAUCUGGAUUUUAUGCAACAUCACCCAACACUGUGAAAGAAACAAAAGCUAUCCAUGGGAUCCAUUUAGCAGGUGAGCACCCAGUGCGCACCUUUCUAGCGUGUCUGGGGAACAAGGCUUGGGCUCCCUUUUGCUCUGAGUGUGCCUGGCCGCUGGCCUCCUUUUGCACUAUAUCUACCCUUUGCUUUAGCUCCAGAGACCUCACUCCAAGUCCUGUCUUUCUCAACCACUAAGAGAAAUGAACACUCUGCCUUUUUAUCCUGUGGAUCAACUUAGCCCUCGAUGGCCAUGUGGAAGCAAGUCUAUGUCCCUCUCAGGUCCGUAGCCAGCUUUCCUAAAUGGGAUCUGUGUUCUCUGCCCUAAGGCCCUAUGCUGGGGCAGGCAAGAGAAGAGUG